rnacentral:rRNA from 1 species
GCGGGACGACGCUCUUUUAUUUUUAGAGACCUUUUUCGAAGGUAUACUUAAAGAGGGGCUUGCGGCACAUUAGUUAGUUGGUAGGGUAAAAGCCUACCAAGACUAUGAUGUGUAGCUGGACUGAGAGGUUGAACAGCCACAUUGGGACUGAGACACGGCCCAAACUCCUACGGGAGGCAGCAGUAGGGAAUUUUCGGCAAUGGAGGAAACUCUGACCGAGCAACGCCGCGUGAACGAUGAAGUAUUUCGGUAUGUAAAGUUCUUUUAUUGAAGAAGAAAAAAUAGUGGAAAAACUAUCUUGACGAUAUUCAAUGAAUAAGCCCCGGCAAACUAUGUGCCAGCAGCCGCGGUAAUACAUAGGGGGCGAGCGUUAUCCGGAAUUAUUGGGCGUAAAGGGUGCGUAGGCGGUUUGGUAAGUCUAUAGUUUAAUUUCAGUGCUUAACACUGUUCUGCUAUAGAAACUAUCAGACUAGAGUGAGAUAGAGGCAAGUGGAAUUCCAUGUGUAGCGGUAAAAUGCGUAAAUAUAUGGAGGAACACCAGAGGCGUAGGCGGCUUGCUGGGUCUUUACUGACGCUGAGGCACGAAAGCGUGGGGAGCAAACAGGAUUAGAUACCCUGGUAGUCCACGCCGUAAACGAUGAGUACUAAGUGUCGGGGAAACUCGGUACUGAAGUUAACACAUUAAGUACUCCGCCUGAGUAGUACGUACGCAAGUAUGAAACUUAAAGGAAUUGACGGGACUCCGCACAAGCGGUGGAUCAUGUUGUUUAAUUCGAAGAUACACGAAAAACCUUACCAGGUCUUGACAUACUCUGCAAAGCUAUAGCAAUAUAGUGGAGGUUACCAGGGAUACAGGUGGUGCAUGGUUGUCGUCAGCUCGUGUCGUGAGAUGUUAGGUUAAGUCCUAAAACGAGCGCAACCCUUGUCACUAGUUGCCAGCAUGUUAUGAUGGGCACUUUAGUGAGACUGCCAAUGAAAAAUUGGAGGAAGGUGAGGAUCACGUCAAAUCAUCAUGCCCCUUAUGAUCUGGGCUACAAACGUGAUACAAUGGCUGUUACAAAGAGUAGCUAAAACGCGAGUUUAUAGCCAAUCUCAUAAAAGCAGUCUCAGUUCGGAUUGAAGUCUGCAACUCGACUUCAUGAAGUGGAAUCGCUAGUAAUCGCGAAUCAGCAUGUCGCCGUAG